GAUGAACGCUGGCGGCGUGCCUAAUACAUGCAAGUCGAGCGAACAGACGAGGAGCUUGCUCCUCUGACGUUAGCGGCUGACGGGUGAGUAACACGUGGAUAACCUACCUAUAAGUCUGGGAUAACUUCGGGAAACCGGAGCUAAUACCGGAUAAUAUAUUGAACCGCAUGGUUCAAUAGUUAAAGACGGUUUUGCUGUUACUUAUAGAUGGAUCCGCGCCGAAUUAGCUAGUUGGUAAGGUAACGGCUUACCAAGGCGACGAUGCGUAGCCGACCUGAGAGGAUGAUCUGCCACACUGGAACUGAGACACGGUCCAGACUCCUACGGGAGGCAGCAGUAGGGAAUCUUCGACAAUGGGCGAAAGCCUGACGGAGCAACGCCGCGUGAGUGAUGAAGGUCUUCGGAUCGUAAAACUCUGUUAUUAGGGAAGAAAAAAUGUGUAAGUAACUAUGCACGUCUUGACGGUACCUAAUCAGAAAGCCACGGCUAACUACGUG
rnacentral:rRNA from 1 species